ensembl:lncRNA
GGGGGUAUGAAUACUUUUGCAAGUCACUGUAGAUGUGUGGACUGCCGUCUGUCUCCUCCACCGCCACUCGUCCCUGGAUUCUCUUUCCCCUCAAACAUAUAGUUUGUCCUAAACAGCACCCUAUACUGCAAAAAGUAGUGCACUAUAUAUAUAUAUAUAGGGAGAUAUGGUGCCGUUUUGAAUGUAGAUUAUGAGCCUUUUCUCCAUUUGAUUUCUUCCUGCGGCCUCUCUCCUUUUGAAAAAAGGUCAAAUCGAGGAGGCGAGGGAGAGGGGAAAGUGGACGAAAAUGCGCUUGAAUGAAAUGAAACUGUCCCCUUUUCCUGUUUCCUGUUCCAUCAGGCGAAUGACGUUUACAGGGGUGGAUUCCAAAAUAAAUGUGUUACGUGAUAAAUAUGAAUGAAGUUAGUUAUGCGAUACGUUUUAUAGAUAAAGGAUAAAUAGCAUAUUGUUUAAAAAACACAAACGUGUCCGUGCUUUUCUCCUCUGGCAAUACAACAGCUGAUUCAAAAGGGUGCGUGGCAGAUAUCCAAGCUCUUCCGUUUGUAGGAUACACUUGUGCUUCCUCGUCAAAAGGAGGCUUAGACAAGGAGGAGAGGACCGUCUUCCGUUCGCCUACUAACGAACUGAUACACUCCUCGACCACUCAUCGGUUUCCGGGUCACGGAGGAGAGACGACAGAGGAGAGUGGAUGGAAGAGAGAGGACAGAGACGACAGAGAGGAGAGUGGACGGAAGAGAGAGGACAGAGAGAGUUGGGGGGGAUCCCUUCCUUUCCUCACUGUCAGCAGGCUGGUCUGCUCUUCGGCCUGCAGUAAGGUGAACCCUGACCUCUAACUCGUGACUGGGUUACUCCCAGGAGGACUAGGGUGUAGUCAUUAGGGCAGACCGUAUUCACCCCAGUCUCUACGAUGGGAACCAGUUUAUAAUCCACCUGAACCAGUGGCUCAGACCUCGGCCCCCAGCUCUAUGACCCCAGUCUCUACGAUGGGAACCAGUUUAUAAUCCACCUGAACCAGUGGUUCAGUCAGACCUCGGCCCCCAGCUCUAUGACCCCAGUCUCUACGAUGGGAACCAGUUUGUAAUCCACCUGAACCAGUGGUUCAGUCAGACCUCGGCCCCCAGCUCUAUGACCCCAGUCUCUACGAUGGGAACCAGUUUAUAAUCCACCUGAACCAGUGGUUCAGUCAGACCUCGGCCCCCAGCUCUAUGACCCCAGUCUCUACGAUGGGAACCAGUUUAUAAUCCACCUGAACCAGUGGUUCAGUCAGACCUCGG